rnacentral:rRNA from 1 species
CCUACGGGAGGCAGCAGUAGGGAAUAUUGCACAAUGGGGGAAACCCUGAAGCAGCAACGCCGCGUGGAGGAUGAAGGUUUUCGGAUUGUAAACUCCUUUUGUUAGAGAAGAUAAUGACGGUAUCUAACGAAUAAGCACCGGCUAACUCCGUGCCAGCAGCCGCGGUAAUACGGAGGGUGCAAGCGUUACCCGGAAUCACUGGGCGUAAAGGGCGCGUAGGCGGGAUAGCAAGUCAGAUGUGAAAGCCUAGGGCUCAACCAGGGAACUGAAUUUGAAACUGUUAUGCUAGAGUGUGGGAGAGGUAGGUGGAAUGCUUGGUGUAGGGGUGAAAUCCGUAGAUAUCAGGAGGAAUACUCGUGGCGAAGGCGGCCUGCUAGACCAUGACUGACGUUGAGGCGCGAAAGCGUGGGGAGCAAACAGGAUUAGAUACCCUUGUAGUC